rnacentral:misc_RNA from 1 species
CCAAUAGCGUAUAUUAAAGUUGUUGCGGUUAAAAAGCUCGUAGUUGAAUUUCGGAAUUGAUGCAUUGGUCGUGCCUUAAGGGGCAUGAACUGGUGUAGCCAAUUUCUCAUCUUCUGGUGAAUUGUGAUGUUCUUAAUUGGGUGUCUCAAUGAACUGGAAUUUUUUACUUUGAAAAAAUUAGAGUGUUUAAAGCAGGCAGUGAUUUGCUUGAAUACAUUAGCAUGGAAUAAUGAAAUAGGACGGUGGUUCUGUUUUGUUGGUUUCUAGGAUCACGUAAUGAUUAAUAGGGACAGUUGGGGGCAUUAGUAUUCAAUUGUCAGAGGUGAAAUUCUUGGAUUUAUUGAAGACUAACUAUUGCGAAAGCAUUUGCCAAGGAUGUUUUCAUUAAUCAAGAACGAAAGUUAGGGGAUCAAAGAUGAUUAAGUAUGUCGUAGUCCUAACCAUAAACUAUGCCGACUAGGAAUCAGACGAUGUUAAUUUUUUAAUGACUCGUUUGGUACCUUACG